AACAGGAUUAGAUACCCUGGUAGUCCACGCUGUAAACGAUGUCGAUUUGGAGGUUGUGCCCUUGAGGAGUGGCUUCCGGAGCUAACGCGUUAAGUCGACCGCCUGGGGAGUACGGCCGCAAGGUUAAAACUCAAAUGAAUUGACGGGGGCCCGCACAAGCGGUGGAGCAUGUGGUUUAAUUCGAUGCAACGCGAAGAACCUUACCUACUCUUGACAUCCAGAGAACUUAGCAGAGAUGCUUUGGUGCCUUCGGGAACUCUGAGACAGGUGCUGCAUGGCUGUCGUCAGCUCGUGUUGUGAAAUGUUGGGUUAAGUCCCGCAACGAGCGCAACCCUUAUCCUUUGUUGCCAGCGGUUCGGCCGGGAACUCAAAGGAGACUGCCAGUGAUAAACUGGAGGAAGGUGGGGAUGACGUCAAGUCAUCAUGGCCCUUACGAGUAGGGCUACACACGUGCUACAAUGGCGCAUACAAAGAGAAGCGACCUCGCGAGAGCAAGCGGACCUCAUAAAGUGCGUCGUAGUCCGGAUCGGAGUCUGCAACUCGACUCCGUGAAGUCGGAAUCGCUAGUAAUCGUAGAUCAGAAUGCUACGGUGAAUACGUUCCCGGGCCUUGUACACACCGCCCGUCACACCAUGGGAGUGGGUUGCAAAAGAAGUAGGUAGCUUAACCUUCGGGAGGGCGCUUACCACUUUGUGAUUCAUGACUGGGGUGAAGUCGUAACAAGGUAACC
rnacentral:rRNA from 1 species